rnacentral:rRNA from 1 species
AUUGAACGCUGGCGGCGUGCCUAAUACAUGCAAGUCGAACGGAGUGGCGCACGGGUGAGUAAUAUAUAGCUAAUCUGCCCCUGGCUGGAGGACACCAGUUAGAAAGGACUGCUAAUACUCCAUAGCAAGGGAUGGGACUAUAUCGUAUCAGCUAGUCGGUGGGGUAACGGCCUACCGAGGCGAUGACGCGUAACUGGUCUGAGAGGAUGAUCAGGCGCAGUGGAAGUGAGACACGGUUCAGACACCUUCGGGAAGGGGCAGUAGGGAAUAGUGCGCAAGCGGGGAGACCCUAACGGAGCAACGCCGCGUGGAGGAUGACACUUGUCGGGGCGUAAACUCCUUUUGUUAGGGAAGCGGUACCUAACGAAUAAGCACCGGCUAACUCCGUGCCAGCAGCCGCGGUAAUAC